UUUCCGUAGGUGAACCUGCGGAAGGAUCAUUAAAGAACGCCCCGUUUUUUGAAAUGGGUAAUUCUAAACCGUGUAUACAUACCUUUGUUGCUUUGGCAGGCCGCCCCUCAGGGCGUCGGCUCCGGCUGACUGCGCCUGCCAGAGGACCCAAACUCUUUGGUUUAGUGAUGUCUGAGUACUAUAUAAUAGUUAAAACUUUCAACAACGGAUCUCUUGGUUCUG
rnacentral:misc_RNA from 1 species